ensembl:lncRNA
GGCGAUUUUAGCAUGGAAAUAUUGGUGAGGCAAACAAUUGUAUGUUUUAUUUAUUUAUGCCAGCAAAGCCACUACACAACACUACACAAUACAUUAAUUGCACUAUAACGGUGACAUACAAUGGUGUAAAGUACUUAAGUAAAAAAUACUUUAAAGUACUACUUAAGUCGUUUUUUUGAGUAUCUGUACUUUACUUUACUAUUUAUAUUUUUUAUGACUUUUACUUAUACUUCACUACAUUCCUGAAGGAAAUAAUAACAUAGCUAAUAUGGCUGAUUUGCUUAAACAAAUGUGGUUUCUAUUGACAAUUGACAUGUACAAACUAUGGCAUAAGGGGACAACGAGCGGAUAAGAGGCAAUCCGUAAUUUCGAUAAAGACCUUAAUGAGUGAGCUGGGACGGAUGUAGUCAAUAUAACUAUUUGUUCAACACUUUUGAAAUGUACAGCGACAGAAUUCAGAACAUGGGCCAUUCUUACAGUAUUCUCCCUGUACACCAAGUCAGAGCCAUAGGAUAAAUAAAGGCAUAUAUUUUUUUAUUUUACCUUCAUUUAACUAGGCAAGUCAGUUAAGAACAAAUUAGCUUCACUCUUGUGUAUUUUAUUUGUCUUUGUCGCGUGUUAAUAUUAUUUUGUUUAACUCGGCAUCAUUGGGUUGUAUUCUGGGUCAUGUGACAAAUACUAUUUAUUUUGUAGUGGAGGAGGGCAACAACAUUAACAAACGUGUGGUCCUGAGCAAAGACUUAUUGUUCAGAUUUGAAGGGGUCUAGUGACAUCUAGUGGUCAACACAUGCAUAGCCUGUGAGGUGGUUAAUGGAAACACAAUUUCACCUGUAUUUGGAAAACAGUAUAAAAGUGGGACAAAGAGUACAAAUGUGUAGGCAUUGGGGUAAAAAUGAGGACAAACAUUUUGCAAAGUAUGAGGUUUCCCCCAAGACUAAUGGUUUGUCUGGAUGGGCUCAUUUCAGACACAUAAAAUUAGUACUUGUCUCCCUUCACCAACAGAUGUCUCCCUAGACUUUGAAAAUGGACUCGUCACAAUUGCAAGUUGGGAUUCUUGGGACAUACAUACCAUAAAGCCUAACCCUAACCUUAACCCCUAUCCUAUCCUACCCUACCCUUACCUAACCUUAACCAUAACCUUUGGUAUUUGGUAUGUUAUUAGGAUUCCCAAUUAGCUGUUGAGAAAGCAGCAGCUACUCUUCCUGGGGUCCAACACAGAACAUGAACCAUGACAUAAUACAGAACAUUAUUAGACAACAGCUCAAGGACAGAACUAUAUCAACACCUUAAUAACCCUUAACCCUUAACCAUUUUAAAUAUCAACUUCAACGGGGUGACGUCAGAGUUGGGACAUCCCAAGAAUCCCAUUUAGAACAUGUCUCAUAUUACACGAAACGUUUAGGCUACAUAAUGUGACUUUUCUAUGUACAUGGAUUACACAGGUCAAACUAAACCAGUCGUCUAUUAGACUGUCCACCUCCAAAGAGCAGGCGAUGUAGACCUAUUCAUGGAAACCAGAAGCAGUUAGCUUGUCUGUCUAGACUGAGACAGAGAGCAGGCUUGUCUGUCUAGACUGAGACAGAGAGCAGGCUUGUCUGUCUAGACUGAGACAGAGAGCAGGAUUGUCUGUCUAGACUGAGACAGAGAGUAGGCUUGUCUGUCUAGACUGAGACAGAGAGUAGGCUUGUCUGUCUAGACUGAGACAGAGAGCAGGCUUGUCUGUCUAGACUGAGACAGAGAGUAGGCUUUUCCGUCUAGACUGAGACAGACAGCAGGCUUGUCCGUCUAGACUGAGACAGAGAGUAGGCUUGUCCGUCUAGACUGAGACAGAGAGUAGGCUUGUCCGUCAAAGACUGAGACAGAUAGCAGUCUUGUCUGUCUAGACUGAGACAGAGAGUUGACUGAAACAGAGAGUAGACUGAGACAGAGAGUAGACUGAGACAGAGAGUAGGCUUGUCCGUAUAGACUGAGACAGAGAGUAGACUGAGACAGAGAGCAGGCUUGUCCGUCUAGACUGAGACAGAGAGCAGGCUUGUCCGUAUAGACUGAGACAGAGAGUAGGCUUGUCUGUCUAGACUGAGACAGAGAGUAGGCUUGUCUGUCUAGACUGAGACAGAGAGUAGGCUUGUCCGUCUAGACUGAGACAGAGAGUAGGCUUGUCCGUCUAGACUGAGACAGAGAGUAGGCUUGUCUGUCUAGCCUGAGACAGAUAGCAGGCUUGUCUGUCUAGACUGAGACAGAGAGUAGGCUUGUCUGUCUAGACUGAGACAGAUAGCAGAUAGGCUUGUAGCUGGUCCUCCUCUAGGGGGUAGCUGGUCCUCCUCUAGGGGGGUAGCUGGUCCUCAAAUAGGGAGGUAGCUGGUCCUCCUCUAGGGGGGUAGCUGGUCCUCCUCUAGGGGGUAGCUGGUCCUCCUCUAGGGGGGUAGCUGGUCCUCUUCUAACUAUGUUGAUAUUUAUCACACAUUUUAGUUUCAGAGCUCAGCUAAAAAAGUGUGAACUUUUUUUUUGUAUUUCUGUUCAGUUCUAUUUGUGGACCACAGGAAGGGCUUCUGCAUGUACAGCGGCUAAUGUUGCUCCUCAUCAACUAAACUAAACCAUUCAAAUCAAAUCAAAAUGUAUUGGUCACAUACACAUGGUUAGCAGAUAUUGCGAGUGUAAUGAAAUGAUUGUGCUUCUAGUUCCGACAGUGCAGUAAUAUCUAACAGGGAAUCUAACAAUUCCACAACAACUACCUAAUACACACAAAUCUAAGUAAAGGAAUGGAAUAAGAAUAUAUACAUAUAAAUACUGUAUAUGGAUGAGCAAUGACAGAGCAGCACAGGCAAGAUGCAAUAGGCGGUAUAAAAUACAAUAUAUACAUAUGAGAUGAGUAAUGCAAGAUAUGUAAACACUAUUAAAGUGGCAUUAUUAAAGUGACUAGUGAUCCAUUUUUUAAAGUGGCCGAUUAGUCUGUAUGUAGGCAGCUGCCUCUCUUAGUUAGUGAUGGCUGUAUAACAUUCUGAUGGCCUUGAGAUUCUAUAUGCAUUCUGAGCGUUUUGUCAGUAACAUAAAGACAGCAUCUGACACAAUAUAGAGUUUUUCUCCAACAUCCAAUGAACGUCCUGUCAAGUGUUUUUUUAAUUUGAUUAUUUUUAUCCAAUUAGAUCAGCGCAUGGUUUUAUCAUCUGCUUACAGGAAAUCCCCCAAGAUGUAUCGAGGUCAUAUCAGACUCAGAGAUCCUGUCACGAAACAGAAAAUAAAGUGAAUGUAUCUGUUUUGUACCGUAGCAGUUUGUUGUUUCCUUUCUGUAUCCAGGCGAUGUAGGGCAACACACCAGAUGUUGAUGACUAAACCAUGUUUGUUCUGUCAGGUGGACGCUGAUUGAGAUAUCCCACCCACCCAACCACUCCUGAAUGAAUGAAUGCGUUUCUAUGGUGACCUAAACUCUCAACUGGAGCACACGCUGCUUUCACUUCAUUACACCUACGUUCCAAAUGGAACCCUAUUCCCUAUAUAGUGCACUACUUUAGACCAGAGUCCUAUGGAACCCUAUUCCCUAUAUAGUGCACUACUUUAGACCAGAGUCCUAUGGAACCCUAUUCCCUAUAUAGUGCACUACUUUUGACCAAAGCCCCACGAGCCACUCCCCUACACAACAUUUACACAACGACUCUCUCAUCUGUCCAUUGAUGGAUCUGAAUACAGCUGGAAUAUUUUCAAGGAGUUCUAGUUUUAGAUAACCAGUUUGUUUACCACAAUCAAAUCAAAUCAAAUUUUAUGAGUACUGUAGUAUACUUCCCUCUCUCUCCCAGCAAACAGACCAUACAAACCAUUACUGUAGUAUACUUCCCUCUCUCUCCCAGCAAACAGACCAUACAAACCAUUACUGUAGUAUACUUCCCUCUCUAACCCAGCAAACAGACCAUACAAACCAUUACUGUAGUAUACUUCCCUCUCUAACCCAGCAAACAGACCAUACAAACCAUUACUGUAGUAUACUUCCCUCUCUAACCCAGCAAACAGACCAUACAAACCAUUACUGUAGUAUACUUCCCUCUCUAACCCAGCAAACAGACCAUACAAACCAUUACUGUAGUAUACUUCCCUCUCUAACCCAGCAAACAGACCAUACACACCAUUACUGUAGUAUACUUCCCUCUCUAACCCAGCAAACAGACCAUACACACAGGCAAUAUUGUACACACUAAUGUUAAAUGUAUCUGGAAAAUAGUACACAACUCCAAGUGCCACUAUUCUGGAUUUAAUUAUCAUUGUUAAACAUCAUCAUAUAAUAUUAAAAACAGCAACUCACCUAAUGUACAAUACAGUACUACACUUACAUGCAAAUUGCCCAAUAGCCAGCUAUGCCCAGGCCAACAAAACACAACGAGAAAAAUAUAAGCAUCAUUCACAACACAGUCUUGAACAUUGAGCCUUCUCCUGCUUUUUCAAAUAGAUACACUUUAAUUUACCAGUAGGCUACCUGUAUUAUUCUGUAUUAAUUUACCAGUAGGCUACCUGUAUUAUUCUGUAUUCAUUUACCAGUAGGCUACCAGUAUUAAUUUACCAGUAGGCUACCUGUAUUAUUCUGUAUUCAUUUACCAGUAGGCUACCUGUAUUAUUCUGUAUUCAUUUACCAGUAGGCUACCUGUAUUAUUCUGUAUUAAUUUACCAGUAG